CAGUAGCUGCUGAGUCAGGACAAGGAUGCUGAGGAUAUGGUGGACAAGGAUGACCUGAAUACACAGAAGCUACUGCUCAGCAAAGAAUACAACUGUCUGGUGAAAGGCUCGACCGUAUCAAAGUCCAGUGAUGUCGGGGUAUGUGACCGUUCCAUGUCUGGGGAUUGCAUUUUAGCUGACACUAACAAGGGAGAGAACUGAAGAUCUGCACCUGCAAAGAGCACCAGCCUUGAUAUAGAGUUGGUACGGCAACGACACAAGUAGGGCCCGCUGGAGCCCCAGUCCAGCACGACCCCUCCCCUGACCCUUAGCUCCUCCCAUUUGACCUCCGGCAUCAAAGAGUCAGCAUUGUUUAACAAUUCCAUCCCAUAGCAAUUUCUGAGCACAUAGAGUGUUUGCACACUUUUCUCAACAAGCGCAAUGUCCGUGUUGAGUCUGCACUUGGGCCCUGAUUGAUUUGAUAGACUCAAGUGUCGGAGCUGGUAGAAGUGUUACAGACAUAAGAAGUUAUUGCAGCUGUUAUGGUAACACUAACAGUCAGCUCUCGCUGUUGGACAUUACAAUGAAUAUUACGAAAAAAUACAAAGCUGGAUAACUCAUUCCAUUCUUUUUGGGACAAACAGACCUGCAGCAAGGAACAGGAGAAAAUCACGGGAAUGUUUGAAGAGUUUAAGUCAGAAGCGUAAGCUUUCCACCGGGAAUACUCCUGGAUGGUCUAAACUUAAGGGACAGUCCAGGUUUGUCCUCUCAGGUGUCCAAACUGUCCAAAGAGUAUGCAUUUAUUUUUGACGCAGUUGCUAACAAAGAAAGGCAGUACCAACUUCGUUGUGAAGAGUCAAGCAUGGUACAUCCCUGGGGCAUGCCUCAGGUGGGAAUUCCAUCUGCAACAAGGUGCUAAAGGUAAACCCAUCAGAGUGUGUUACUAACCACUUCAAGACCAAACAGCCUCACAUUGAUUCGACGAUAAAGAAGGCGUUGAAAAAUGACAGCAGUUUUGAUGUGUCAUCCAGUUUGCUCUUCGACUCUCAACCCAACGUUAGUUAGAACGCAAACUCAGCAUUUAGCGUUAUCAGCGAGGCUCGAAGGUCAUCUCUGCUUCUUAAGCUUCAGAUAAAAUUAUAAGCCAACAAGACGAACAUCGUUGAAUAAUUUCUCACAUAUACUAAAACUCGCUUAAGAAAUUCAGCACGUCACUUAUGAACAUCUUCUCGCAAGGCGGCUACAUCAGCACUUCCAAUAGCUGAGCCUUGGUGAGUUCCACUCCUGUCCCGAUGAGUCGCUCGAGGUGAAACAAUCUGAUCCACAGAUAGAGCAGACGCUGAGUGACUCGUCUGUUAACGUGACUGACCUCCAUAUGUUGCUCUCUAAUAUUGUGCCUGAGGAGCAGUGUUGGCCUACAUUCCCUGUUCAGGGCGGUGACUUUGGCGUCAAGACUCACACAAUCUCUGUCUAUGGCCCUAUCGCAGCAGCAGCAGCAAAAAAAACAGGAAGUAUUUCAGCUGCACUCUGGGAAAACAGGGCUUAAUGCAUGUGUUUAAAGUGUUGUCCCAGAUAAAGGUGUUAAGUCUGCCCGCUCUUAUCAGUGACCACACUUUCCGAAUAAGCCUUUAAAUGAAAAAUUCCAUAAAAGCGGAAAGUGUCGUGGCUGAUGAUUUUCAAGACUCACACAACCUCUGUCUAUGGCCCUGUCGCAGCAGCAGCAGCAACAAAAACAGGAAGUAUUUCAGCUGCACUCUGGGAAAACAGGGCUUAAUGCAUGUGCCUAAAGUGUUUUACCCACAAAAGCGUGUUAAGUCUGCCCAAGCUAAUUUGUGACCACACUUUCCGAAUGUACCUUAAAACAAAGAAUUCCAUAAAAGCUGAAAGUGUCGUGGCUGAUUAGCUUGUGCAGACUGUACAUGCAAAUCUGGAACAACUCUACACUUAUGCAUUUAGCCCAGUUUUUAAAGAGUUUAGAGUUGCACAUUUAGUUCACAUUACAUCAGCUUUACUGACCUUUUUGGAGAAAAGUUCUUAUUACCAAUCAGGAAUUUUGCGGUUUUUGACUGUUCAAACUGAGUUAAUAAAAUGCAUAUUAGAGUUGAUUUGAUAUCAGUUUUAACCAUAGGGGGUAAGGGCAUAUUUUCAUACCUUUUUGUUUGUUUUCACUUGUAUAUAAACCCCUUGCAUAAAUUAUACAAAAUACUGAUGUUUUAUUUAAAUAAAACAAUUAUUGAAAUGCAGUCAACAUUUUAAAAAAAUUAUCUGCAUUUCAUUUAUUAUUAGGUAACAAAAUUUAAUAUAUUUUUACAUAAAUUGAAAUUAAUCACCUGUCCAGGUUUUCAGUUUACAAAUAUGCCCCUGGAGUGAGAAUAUGAAGUGAAGAUAUUAAUUAAUUAUUGCCCCCGGCUAAUUGGGGUAUAUGGGAAUCACCUUGGACAGACGUCUGUCUCUCUUUUCUUAUGUCUGUGGGCGUUCACUUACAAUUCAACGUUAAGCUUUCAAACUUUCAGGUAUUGUUUAAUCUCAAACGUGGUUGUGCAUGUACAUUUUGUAUCAUAAUACUCUAAAAAUUACAAAACUUAGACAUUAUAUAACCUCAUGCUUCAUAGACUUGUGGCAUUGGGGGAUAUUCUAUGUAACAAUGGUUACAAAUAAUUGUUUGACUAGAUGUUGUUUUCUUCUAAGUAUUUUGAAAAAAAAGAGCCAUAUUUUGCUUUCGGAUUGAGUCAGCCUCAUAACUUGUUAAUUUAAUAAUUUAAUGGUCAUGAAAUAAUUUCUAUGGCCAUUCUCUCUCUGAUUCUAGUACGGCAAUUGUCUGUUACUGGCAUAAGUAUAUGUACUCAGUAAGGCCAGGAAAAGGUUAACUUAAUGACCACACUACUACGACUAAAAUGCAUUUUUGUGUGUGUAGGAUCAAUUAAAAAAAAAGAUAAAAUUCCAGUACUUUUUAGCUGUUUCCUACAGGACCCCGUACAAUUACAGAUUGGUGCACAGCUGAACAACAGGCUCUCUCUCCUAAGCCAGGCCUGAACACAUGGGGUCACUUCCUGUGUAUGGGUGGCCAAAUGUCAAACUAGUACCAAUCUGUGCCCAAAAAGCAGCCGUAGCCGUGGGGGGCAGGUUCAUGAUGCAACCGUGGUCUCAUUGCUCUCUGAACAUCUCUUUCCCAACAGCAACAGUACAGCAACAUGACCUGGGUCUUACCGUUGCCAGUUCAAGCUUAGAGGACCAUGUUCCCCAAAUCCAAUGUGGCCCUAUAUCUCAACAGGUCUAGUUGUCUUGCUUACAACAAGAGUGCCCAAAAUUUGAUCAUGAUCAAGGAAGAAAGAAAGCCACAGGAUAAGACCCAAUAAGAACAAAUAGCUGCUUCAGCAUCAAUAGCCUAUCUCUGUACAAGGCUUUCAAAUCUCUUCAAUUAUUUGACAACGCGGCAAUCAACAUGGUUCCAUUCCAGGAAUACCUCGCAGAGCUAAUGAACAGAGCCAGUGCGUAGAACAUGAUUUUUAGGAGGAAUAGGAACCUAGGCCCAAUAUCAACCUGGUUCCAAUCUCGCGAAGAUGUCCACCGGCCGCCCCCUAGCACAAGCCUCGUUAGCCCCAAGGUGUUGUCAUGAUGCCCCUGGACAACAGCUCUUGUUGGGCUCUUCCCAAUAGCAGUAGAUCAACAUGGCAUAUCAGCAUGAUGCCCCAAACCAGCGCUUCAUAUUUAGCUACCAGCAGUAUCCAUGCAACCAAACCUUGAUCACUCAGCAACAGAUAAAUCAGCAGCAGGGAUGGAGUUAGCCGUUUCAACGUCUGCUCAGUUGCCUCUCAGAGCCAGUCGGCUUGCUGUGUUGCUUAGCCAAUCCACUACUUAUGUCGCAGCACAAUAUCUCAUCUGGAUCCAUUCCACUGCUGGCGCAACAGCAGGUCUGUUCUCUGUACAGAGCCGUUUCUAUGACGAUGAAGUCCUACAACUCGCCCAGUACUUGCUUUUGCGUCAGGGUCAGGUUCAAGGCCUCAUGGGCUUUGGUGGUCUGGGCAAGAUGGGAAUGUUAGACAGCAACAACAACAGUUAAGAAAAUAGCAACAGCAUAAUAGACAGACACAGCAGCAAUGGCCACAGCACCAACAAUAGCAGUAACAGAUGAUGGCUUAGCUUCAUCAGCAACAGCAGAAGCAACAAGAUCUUACGUCCAUGGACCAUUUAGAUGUCACUUUAGAAAUUCAGAAGAUCUUUAUGAAAGAAUAAACAUGGAUUGCAUGGCAUUGAGUUUGGUUUGGAAGCAGUUACUAUCGCAGAACUCGAGCCAGCAAAGGUCAUUCUCACAGGAAUCCAGUAUCACCAUGGUGCAGGACCCACAGUCUAUGAACGUUGUGGAGCUUGAACCUUGGACGCCAAUUGAAAAAUAUCCAAACCGUCCAAUCAGAAAGACAGUCUGUUGCAGCAGUUAUUCAAACCUAGGAUGCUUAGUGAUAAACAUAAAUAAACACAUGCUAGUCCCUAAGUGCCUGCAUUGGCUGUUUUAAAGCCUUGCUGUCCAUUCUGAACACUUAAAUGGAAGCUCUCACCUUAGAAUUUUGGGAUAGGUCGAAACCCAGUGGCAUGGUGCAGACUAACAUCGCAGAAUGACAAAGAAGUACAAGCCUGUGACCAGCAAUAAACUAAUGUGGCCAGCUAUGUUGUGUCAUGUGACCAGCCAAGCUGUGUGUAAAGAGAAAACUAUAGUUCAUGUCUUGUGGGAUUUAUGACGCUUUAAGUGAUUUGCUGUUAUAUGUUUUUGUGAUAUAUAUAGUUAAUUAUAAUCAAGUGAAGAUUACUUGUUUAAAGUGAUUAUGUAAAGUAUUAUUUUAAGUUCAAAAGAGUGCAAGCCUGUGUUGCUACUUUGUCUGUAUUCGAAAGUUUGAUCCAGAUGUUGGUAAAACAUAGAACAUAAACAUAUUUUUUAUUACAUUGAUUUAAAACUUAAGCAAAGUUGUUUAACUAAUAUUGUUAACUUGAAUAAAUUUUCAAACAUUUAUCGGCUUUUUUCAUGAAAUAAGACAAACUACAGUAUUGUUUUUUUCCAGUAAUAUAGUAAGACGUGCCAGUUGAAAGAAAUGGUUAAGAAAGAUUCAUGGACGCUUCUAUUUUGAUUUGCCUGUCUUUGUGUCUGUAUACAAUACAAUCAGUUUGCGCAUUAUAGUCACUUUUUAAACAAGAAUCUUGAGUAGUGUCAGAAAAUUAUAAAAGAAAAAUAUUAAUAAAUUAAGGACAAAAUUAUUUUAUCUUCCGUAAAUUGUCAAUUUUUGUAUUGAAAACCGGUACUUUAUUAAUUAGUUACAAUUUUUAAUAAUUGUAUAAAAGCUGUAUGCAUUUUCAAAAAGCUGAUAAUAGACGCAAAACAUAAAUUAUCAUCAUUUGAUGGAAGAUUAUUUGAAUUAAAUGAAAUUUGGAAGAUUAUCUUAAUUUGAAUUGUAAUGGUUUGUUUAAUGAUUAGAAAAUAUCUAUAAUUAAGUGGAAUGCUUUUAAUUUUUUUAAACUUAAGAUUUUAAUUUUUCUUUUAGUAAGCAUGCAUCAUGAUGACAUAACUUGUUAGUGUUUAAUGUUCAUUGUUAGUUUUGAUCUUUGUAUUGGGACACAAUACUUCAUGAUGCUUUGUAUAAACUGUGCAUACUCGUAUAAAAAAUUAAAUUUUCAAGUGAGUAAAUGAGUGAAUAAUUUGACCAAGUCAAUAUAUAUUUACAUUGUGCCAUUGUGGAUAUUAAGCAAAACAAAUCAUUUGCUGGUGUCAAUUGUAAAAAAAAUCAAUUUGAUCAAUUAACUGUUAUAUGUUAUAAUUUUGAUGUACAUCUUUUAGAUGCAAGGCAAUAGAAAGAACCUAAAUGACAAAUAAAAACACUUGUAUACCAUACUUUUUAUCUGUCCAAUAAUAAUUUAAGCAAAUGCUUGAAAAAAUAUUUAAUUAAAAAUAUUAAUACUGGAAAAUUUGAAAUCAAUUACAUACAAGGGAGAGCAAUGUGAUGUGGUUUAAAUUUUCAAUUACUGCAAUUGUUAAUGAAUGUUUUAUUAUUACUUUAGAUACAAUAGGAUUCUCAUUGCACCACAAACACUUGUUUAUGUGUUGUAACAGAAUUUAUAUGUAAUCAAAUUUAUUUUAAAAAAAUAUUAAAUUUAAUGACAAUACAGUGUUGAUUUUUUUGUAAUUCUUACUUUUAUUAUCACAUGUUCUGAAAAAAAUGUCACUUUGAGAUAUAUUUUAUACUAUAACUAUGAUAUAAUACUUGCUAAUUAUUCUAUGCUUGAUAUAUGGCUGAUAUUUAAUUGUGAUAGUUUACCAGUUGAGUUACAGUAUUCUUCACGUUGACCUCUCCACAUUAACCAAGAGUGCAAUCACAAAAGCAAGUUUCAAUAAAUCUCUCGAUUUAAAACUGCAACAAAUGUCAGACUUUCCAAAAAAUGUGCUUUUUUUUAUUCAAGUUGUUUGAAUGGCUGUUUUUGUUCUGUUGUUAAUUAAUUCAAAUAGGUUUUAAUAUUUAAACUACAUGUCAUAUUUUAAUCAUAUCAUAUUGAUUGUAACAUAGAAAACAAAAUAAACCUUUUUGAUUAAUUUGUGUGUAUGUUAAGUAAAAGUAAAUGCCAUUUUAAAAUCAUGUCUUCAUUUGUUCGUCUUACUCAAAAGUGACCUUUUGCAGUGGAAAGGCUCUAUUGCAUAAAAUGAACUUUAUCGAAAAAGCCCCAAGGCAUUUUUUGAUUGCUUGUGUACCACAUACUUAUCAGGGAUUUCUUAAUUGACUACAUGAUUUUUUACACACCAGUUUGACCUUCGUUGAUAUUUUCUAAAUUGUGACCUUAUUGUUAAGAGUAUUUUACUAGUACAUGUUGAAGUAUUUCUGUUAAGUGUAACCGAAUAUUUGAUAAAAUUAUUUAAACAUGUUUAACUGUCUUUGUAAUUAAAUUGAAUAUUUUCUAUAGUAGUUCAUUCAAUUACCAUAGUGUUUUGUUGAGCCAAAUCACAUUAUAUGAAUCAUGUUUUAGGGUCAACCACUACUAUAAUCAGUGGUUUAUUUGUAGAGGGAUAUAAUCAUGUGUUUGUAUAUUUGUGUACUUGAUAAACCAAGUUUGUUGUUCCAAUGUUGCUAAGGUAUAUAUCUAUCCCUGAAGUUGUCAUAUUAUUGUACCUUGACUCUGUGUUGCUAUCACAAUUAAAAAAAAAUCAAAUUCGUUUUUCGACUUCUAUAUAACUUCAUUAUUUUAAACAAGAAAUAUCUUUUUCAAAGAUAUACGGCGUUGAUGUUAAUUGUUUUUGUUGGUUUUAAAGGAUCGUCAUGAAAAUAAGAUCAAGUUAUGACUCAUGUCGGGGAUGUUUUUUUCUGAACAAUUCUCAGUCGGAUGAUAUGCAUAUAAGUUUAAAUGAGGACGAACAUACAUAUAAUAAUAUCAGAGACCCUACUCCGAUACUGUAAAAUGUCCAACGAAGGCUAGAAUUUGUGAAAACAAGCUUGGAGAUAAAGAUGUGGUGUGUCACUCUACUUAUAAAUCGCCUGGUCAACCACACGACAUGAGCGCUCCAGAUAUAAAGUACAAGGAAUAUCUAUAAAAAGACGUUAAUUGCAAACAUACGAUUUCAAAACAGACAAUUUUAUAUAAUUAGACGUAGUUAAAUUAAAAACUAAAUAAUGCUCAACGUGCACCACAUGUUUAUCUUGUAUCCGUCGUAAAUCUAUUAUUUAGUUAACUGUAUUUUUUUAUUGCAUACACUGUUUAUAAAGUUUAUACGAUUUAUUAUGGUAUAUAUCGCGAUGUGUUCACAUAUAUAUUGGAUUAUAUAAUUUAAGAGUAGUGUCACUGUGUCUAUUUACUGAAUAAAUAAAAUAUUUAUCAA